rnacentral:lncRNA from 1 species
UUUGAGGAGUGAGUUGUUGAUUGCUUGAGGACAAGCAAAAGUUUAAGUAUGGGGUAAUUUGAUAAGCAUCAUACUACACAUGUUUUCAUGCCCGAUUGUUUACAUUUUUAUGUAUGAUUAUCCCAUUUUAUGCUAGAAUCACCUAUCUUUUGUUUCCUUUCUCGUUUCAGGUCAUUUUUUAAGGACACCAUCAAUAAUC